ACUCCUAUUCCACUUCUUGACUCUGAUCGUAUGAAGACUCCUAUGCUCCUUGUAUUUUUGCUACGUUCCAUUUUGGCUAUUUCCAGUGCCAUCCAGCUUGGUGAGUGACUGGCGCAUCGGAAUGAAGCUUCUUUAUUAGAGGAGAGACAAAGAUGGCCAUUUUGAGUUUUUUUCAGAACUCCGUUUUUUGAGUUGGAGCUCUCCUGCCAGUUUCCAGAUCAGUUUCUUGACAAAUACACUACCAGAGUUCAAAUUUAGUUUGGAGUGCUCAACAUUUAUAAGCUCACUCAAAGUUUUGUAAGCUUUUUCGUCAGUGGAAUCAAAUAUUCAAAUUCUAUUUUUUGGGGAGUGAGGUCGACAGCAACAAACACACGAAGAUCACUGUCGACAUUGUUUUACGAAACCUCGACAAAACAACGCACAUGGAGCCGGGUGCUAUGACAAUGGUCUCGCCAAACCUGUCGCCGAGCGCUACCAGGGCAAUGGACUCCUUACAGAGCACGACCAGCCACUUCCUGUCAGCCAACGUCAUCAAUGUUGUAAGCGGUCGGGAGCAGAGGGGGAGAGAGGAUAUGGACAACACUGAAAAGUCAUGUUCUGGGAGAGAAAUCGAUUAUUGAAGAAAACAUUAUCAUUAAAAACCUUGUUAAACCUGCACGUUGGACUCUUGUGCCGUGUCUUCAGUGGAACUGCUAGGAAGCGACUUCCACAUAUACAAUAUUUUCCCCCAAAAAAUUUCAAGUUGGAAUAUUUAAUGUGAAGUAUUUGGAGCCUUCAAUAGGUCAGUAAUUCAUAACAAUAAUUUUGAUUCAUUUUUUUUUUUGAGGAGCAAUGACAGUUUAAAAAAAAAAAAAUCCCCCUAAAAUUCUCAGGGACUCAAAAGUGCCCACUCAUAAAAGUAUACAAAUAAGUCCUGCAUUAUUCUAUUUUUUUUUAACUUUCAGCGCUUACAUCUCUUGAUCAACUUCAGAUCUGUUGAUUGUAAGGUUUUAUUAUUUUUUUCAUGUUUUUGUUUGUUUGUUUGGUGCCCUUUUUGUCAUAGAAUUUUUUUUUUUAUUUUUUUUUAUGGCAAACACACAAAAUAUGCAAACUUUUAUUUCAAAGUGUAAUAUUUGAU